CUCUCUCUCCCUCUUUCUCUUCCCCUCUCUUUCUCUCCCUGUCUUUUUGUCUCUCUUUAUGUCUAUUGCAUUAUGCCUGAAUAAUUUUCACUCUUUUUUUUUCCUCCCCUCUUGCACGCACAUGCUAAAAUAACUAGACAAAGAUGCAAGGUGGUUGCUGCAGUCCCUGUCUCUAGGAAAGAACCAAGAAAGCUUAGGAUUGCAAUGCCACCUUUCCUUUUUUUCUUUCUUUUCUUUUUUUUUUUUUCUUCCCCAGCCAUGCUCGGUGAUUAAACUUCCUCAGGAUGGGGAAGAAAAGGAGCUGGAAAUGAAAUAGGGUUGAGGAAAAAUCCCAUUGCAGCAGCUGCAGCCAGCGGUGUGUGCUGCCAGAUGUGUGAAGGUUCCUGGGGUCCUUGUCACUAAAAGGCAGUAUUCAAAUAUUUGGAGACAAAAGCUGCAUCCUCAGUGAUCAUUUUCUUUAUUUAACAUGGCAGCAGGCAUCGUGUGGGAAAAAAUCAACACACUGGAUGUUGAAUUGGACUUUUCUCCUUCCUGGGAUGAAAGGAUGUUAUCUAUCCCGUGCCAAGAGGGAACUGAGGUGCAGGGGGAGGGGAAGAAAGUCUUCAAAACUAGCCCGCCAUGGUACUGGUCUCUUAGCCUGUAGGGCUUGUGCAUGAUGUAUAUGAGAGCGAUUUCCAGCAGAGUGAAGCUUAUCACAGAUCCACCUAAAAGGUAAGGAUAUUUUUUUUAAUUUUUAGUUCACAUGCUGAACAGCUGCCUGCUGAACACCUGCCCACGGAG
rnacentral:lncRNA from 1 species